rnacentral:rRNA from 1 species
CCUACGGGUGGCAGCAGUGGGGAAUAUUGCACAAUGGGGGAAACCCUGAUGCAGCGACGCCGCGUGAGUGAAGAAGUAAUUCGUUAUGUAAAGCUCUAUCAGCAGGGAAGAAAAUGACGGUACCUGAGUAAGAAGCCCCGGCUAACUACGUGCCAGCAGCCGCGGUAAUACGUAGGGGGCAAGCGUUAUCCGGAUUUAUUGGGUUUAAAGGGUGCGUAGGCGGUUCGAUAAGUUAGAGGUGAAAUCCCGGGGCUCAACUCCGGCACUGCCUCUGAUACUGUCGGGCUAGAGUUUAGUUGCGGUAGGCGGAAUGUAUGGUGUAGCGGUGAAAUGCAUAGAUAUCACGAGGAACCCCGAUUGCGAAGGCAGCCUGCCGGGGUGCGACUGACGCUGAGGCUCGAAGGUGCGGGUAUCAAACAGGAUUAGAUACCCGAGUAGUC